rnacentral:rRNA from 1 species
GAUGAACGCUGGCGGCGUGCCUAAUACAUGCAAGUCGAGCGAACAGACGAGGAGCUUGCUCCUUUGACGUUAGCGGCGGACGGGUGAGUAACACGUAGGUAACCUACCUAUAAGACUGGGAUAACUUCGGGAAACCGGAGCUAAUACCGGAUAAUAUUUCGAACCGCAUGGUUCAAUAGUGAAAGAUGGCUUUGCUAUCACUUAUAGAUGGACCUGCGCCGUAUUAGCUAGUUGGUAAGGUAACGGCUUACCAAGGCAACGAUACGUAGCCGACCUGAGAGGGUGAUCGGCCACACUGGAACUGAGACACGGUCCAGACUCCUACGGGAGGCAGCAGUAGGGAAUCUUCCGCAAUGGGCGAAAGCCUGACGGAGCAACGCCGCGUGAGUGAUGAAGGUCUUCGGAUCGUAAAACUCUGUUAUUAGGGAAGAACAAACGUGUAAGUAACUGUGCACGUCUUGACGGUACCUAAUCAGAAAGCCACGGCUAACUACGUG